rnacentral:rRNA from 1 species
CCAAUAGCGUAUAUUAAAGUUGUUGCAGUUAAAAAGCUCGUAGUUGAAUUUUGGGUCUGGCCGGGCGGUCCGCCUUCUGGGUGAGUACUGUUCCGAUGUCGGGCCUAUCCUUCUGGUGAGUCGGCAUGCCCUUUACUGGAUGUGUCGGGGAACCAGGACCAUUACCUUGAAAAAAUUAGAGUGUUCAAAGCAGGCAUUUGCUCGAAUACAUUAGCAUGGAAUAAUGAAAUAGGACGCGUGGUGCUAUUUUGUUGGUUUCUAGAACCGCCGUAAUGAUUAAUAGGGAUAGUUGGGGGCAUUAGUAUUCAAUUGUCAGAGGUGAAAUUCUUGGAUUUAUUGAAGACUAACUUCUGCGAAAGCAUUUGCCAAGGAUGUUUUCAUUAAUCAAGAACGAAAGUUAGGGGAUCGAAGACGAUCAGAUACCGUCGUAGUCUUAACCAUAAACUAUGCCGACUAGGAAUCGGGCGAUGUUAUUUUCACGACUCGCCCGGCGCCUUAUG